rnacentral:sRNA from 1 species
AGUUUUGUCAAGCAGCGCGGAUGAGUAGAAAAGCGGCAACGGAACACAUGCUGAGUUAUCUCGCAGAAGUUUCAUGUCUGCCGCGUGAGCGCGACAGGCGUCGUAUUGCCUUCGCGGAACAAGCCCGACGUGCGUUCGUUUUCCAGCUUGCGAAGGAGCAAUAAGACAGAAGCGCCCAAGGAAGCCUCCGUGUGCCAAGGCACAUGUGAGGCUUCCUUGUGCGGGGGC